rnacentral:lncRNA from 1 species
AAAAAAAAAACCCCUCAGAGCGAGGUCUCGGAGCGAGGUCGAAAGGUCGCUCCAGCUGGGAGCGACGUUAUGGGAGCGAUACCUCGGAGUCGCUCGCAGUUUCGACGAAACGGAGUUCAAAAACUAACCCAGAGCGACGCCCUAGCGCGACACCUUGACGUCGCUCCAGCUCAGAGCGAGGUUUCUAGAGCGAUACUACAAGGUCGCUCGCAGUUUCGACGAAACGGAGUUCAAAAACUAACCCAGAGCGACGCCCUAGCGCGACACCUUGACGUCGCUCCAGCUCAGAGCGAGGUUUCUAGAGCGAUACUACAAGGUCGCUCGCAGUUUCGACGAAACGGAGUUCAAAAACUAACCCAGAGCGACGCCCUAGCGCGACACCUUGACGUCGCUCCAGCUCAGAGCGAGGUUUCUAGAGCGAUACUACAAGGUCGCUCGCGGUUUAGUCGAAACACGACGCGACGAAACGACUCGGGAGCGACCUCUCCCAGCGACACCCUCACGUCGCUCCCGAACCGGUCCAGGUAAGUUUCCUAACUCUAAACCCCGGUUUAACUCAAGUAAACCGACCCUAACCACCCUAGACUGAGCCGGACGACCCUAAACCUACCCCAACCCCCGCGACUCCAUCUCUAUCACUCUCCCUUCCUCUCAAAAACUCACAAACUCUCUCAAACUCACCCACACCAAAAUUCCCAAAACCUUCUCAAUUCUCACCCAAAUCAACUAGUUCUUGUUUCUAAAUCCAAGCUUUCGCCCCUGUAGUCUAUUCUUCACUACCCAUUCACCAUUUCCUUUCAUCCAGAGCAAGGUAUUGAGUUUUUAAAUUCAAAUUCGUAGGUCCAUGAACCCUAGAAUUUGAAAGUCGAAAUUUGGUUCUUUUCUUGCUAGAUUGUGGUGAAAUAGACUAGGGAAAGUUUAUCUAUCAAGUUGGGUUGUUGAAUUAAUGGUGAAAUUGAGUUUAAAUCGCACUUAGGCAAAAUUAGGAUUCAUGGAUUUGGGGGUUUUUCGAAUUUGAUCUUAAUUGGGUGUGUUUGUGGGUGGACUAGAUGAGUUAAGAUGUUACAUUGUUGCAUUGUGUUGAACUUGAGUUUAAACUGAAAAAUUCACCUGUUAAGUUCACUUUUGCAAAAAUUUUCACUUGCAAAGUCUUGCUUUUCUUUACUUCCAUCUACUUAUCCCUUUCCAAGUUGGUAAUUUUUCAGGUGAAAAUGGUUAAGAAGACAAAGGGAAGGUUGGAAGCUGAGAGUCAAGAAGCCGAAAGUCAAGAGUUUGCACUAAGAGGAAAAGCUUUAACCAGCGAGCCAACUGGCUCAGGGACGCAUAGGACUGUGCGACAGCAGACGUUGGCUGCAAAGAAAUCGAAAGAACACGAGAAGAGGGCAGGAAAAAGCGUACCAGUUAACACCCAUGAGGAAGGUGAAACUGAGAGUGAAGAUGAGCCGGCACCUACGAAGAAAGCCAAAAUGUCAAAGGGCAAAGGGGUUGCUGUUGAUCGAGACAGAACGAAAACUCCAUCUGUGGAGGAGCUAUAUGAUCAUUUGAAGAAUGGAGUCACUUGGGCUCCAACCAGGUUUGCCGACCUCGAUUUGCUGAAGGAGUUGGGUCUAGAGUCUGAUAUUGAGACGAUGCUGGGACAUUUGAAGAUGCCAAAACUCCUCACCAUGGCUUAUCCUUUCUACAAGGAUGUCACUUGUCAGUUCCUAUCCUCUCUUGUGGUCACUUACCAUGACACGGCGCAUGUGAGACAAGGAUGGGGAAAAAUCAGGUUCAAGGUCAAUGGAAGAGAAUUCAACAUGAACUUCAAGGACAUUGGGAGGGUCAUGGGGUUCCAAGACCUAGAAGACCACUCACUUCCCAAGUGUGAGAACCUCCCCACACAGCUCUGGAAGUUGAUCACUGGAAACAAGCACUCUACCGGGGCGGACAAGAACUCACACAUCCGACACCCGUCUGUACGCUACCUCCACAGAUUGCUAGUCCAUGCUUUUUACCCACGGAAGCAAGCUGGUACGGUUACUGAGGAAGACAUGCGACUGCUCUGUCCGGCUAUCCGUCCAUACGCUCAACCUGGACUGUUACCCCUUCCCAGCACUGAUAUCUAUGCUACCUUUGGGAUUGUCAGUUUCUUUGUGGGCCGUCUCGAGCACUACAGAGACUGGGCGUGGUACACCACUGAUUCGCGCCCAAAGAUGGGGAUAGGCGGAAUGAUCACACCACUGCUCCAAUUUCUGAAUGUUCCCUUGGGAAAGGACGCAGCGGGGCCUAGGUUCAUUGAUGGCACCUACUUGAGGAUUGCCACAUAUUUCAGUGGGAUGUAUGGGAAGGACUACGUCUACCACUACUACUUGCAGGGCAAGCCAGUCGAGGUGGUUCUUCCAAACCGGAACCUGACGAGUUUAGAGAUACCUGGAGCUGUCAGCUUCAACAUUCCCCAGGAGUACUUUCUCGGAGAACACGGGCCUCUCGAUCCAAUUCAACCAGCUCCAUCAAGGAAAAGGAGUGUCCCUACGCAACCUGACUCGCCUGUUGCAGACACAUCUGAGCAUAUCUAUGGACCUCCGCGCUACUACUUCAAGCCCCAUGACGGAGUCCUUCCACCUGGAGCUCUCCGUGAUGCUCAUGACCACAUUGGUCGUCUCCAGAGGUGGAACAAAGCUCAGGACAGAACGAUAGAAAAGCUGAAGGAUAAGUGCAAGGCGCUCAGCAAGACUGUGAAGAAGCAGGCAAAGACUUCAGCCAAGUUCAUGAAGAAAGUAGCUGAUGUCUUAACUAGGGGAGGAAUAGCUGGAUGUAGCUCAGCCGAUUUCGCUUUUGCGAACACCUCAAACCCCCAGCCUCCACCACCGUCUGAUGCUCUUGGCUUCCCCCUCACUGCUGCGCAGCUUCAGCGUAAGUGGAGGAACCCACCCACUCAACCUUCCACUUCAGGCAACAAAUCCCCAUCCCUCGCUUCUUCAAACAGUGAGGACGAGAUUGACGAGGUUGAGAGCCAACCAUGGUAUGGAGGCUCCGGUUCAGCAUCUGGUGGUUACUACACCACCUUCCCUCCUGACGACGACGAUGCUGGGGCAUCUGCACAGGUUCAGCAUCCGGUGGUUACUACACCACCUUCCCUCCUGACGACGACGAUGCUGGGGCAUCUGCCCCCACAUACUAUCCAUAGGAGGUACUUCUUUCUCUCCCUUGUAUAUACCAUUUCAUUUUUGCAAAUUAGUUUUCUUCUCGGUAUCUCUCUCUUUCCUUGAACACAGAGACUGUGUAUCUAAAGUUUGGGGGAGGUACCAAGCAUUUGAUCAUGUUUGCUUUGAUUGUGUUUCAUUUGAGUCAUGCAUUGAACACCUAUUUGCAUAAAAAAAAAACAAAAAAAAAAAACAAAAACAAAAAAAAAGAUUUUUCAUUUAGAUUGCAUCAUUUGCACCAUUAGGAGAGUCUAGAGCAUAUAGGUUGCAUUCACUUGCAUUGGGAGCAAUGAUUUUAAAUACCUUGUAAAGAACACUACGUUGCACCUGAGUAUCCAUGCACCUCUCGAAAAGACUUGUAUGUUUCGAGCCUUGAAAACUCUUCUUGAAACUUGUUGAUUGUAGAAACUCAGUCUUUGAAGCCAGCUACAACCUUAUUUAGGGUCUCUUGUGUACUGAGUCAUGGCUAUACACACUUGAGUUGUCACAUCUUUUAUGCCAUUCUUUUUGACAAACUCUAGUGGUAGACCACUCCCAAAACCUUUCCUUCCUUUUAAGCUUUCAUUGUUUGAUGAAUGAGGCCUUCUUCGGAAAGUUUUACAUGUGCAUAAUGUUGAGAGUAUCGGGAACGACAAUGCUUGAUCUUCAUUUUUGCUGGAUUGGACACUCUAUUGUCUAGCUAUAGGUGGGAGGGUGAGCGUUGUAAUCAUGAUUUGGGAGAAAUAAAAAGGAUAGAUUCUUGUGCUCAAGUGAAUUGAUUUAUUGGGAUAAGUAGAGAACCUCCAGCUCUAGUUUUGAAAAGUCUUGGCCCCCAACCUAAAAAAAAAAAUAAUAAAAAAAAAUAGAAGAAACCGAAAACUAAAAAAAAAAAAAAAAAAAAGAAAGAACAAAAAUAAAAAAAAAAAAAAAGAAAAAAACGAAAAAAAAAAAAAAAAAAAAAAAAAAAAGAGAGAGAAAAAGGGGGCUAGCAAAGUUGUUAGGAGCUGAGAGACAUUUUGAGGUUGUGAAAAAUCCCUUAUAGAUUUCAAGGAAAAAGAGCUGAUGUUUUUAGAAUCUUUUGGUGAGAGGUGUGAGUUGGGUUUGACAUUUGAGAGUGAAUGUGUAACUUAUAUGUUUGGGAAAAGGGUAGAACAAUGGAGAUUGAGCAUUGUAUGCAUGAGUUGGUCCCUUUCUUAGAUAUAUUAUGUGCAAUGUCAAGGCUACUUGUUUUGAGAGUAAACCACCUUAAAGAUCAUAUGUUUUGAACCUCUUGAAUCACUUGAAUAAAAGCCUUCCCUUACCCAACCAAAUGACUUGGACCAACUGACCAUUUGCAAGAAUUCACUUGAUAUCUUAUGCUUAAUGAAUGUGAGAGUUGGCAGAUCUGAAUGUGUGGAUGCUUGAUGAUGAGUGUAGGGACAAAAGGAGUUGAGAUAGGCCUAGAGAAGCUAGAGUGUAAUAAGAGAGUGUGCUAAUUGUGUUUGCUAGUGGUGUUUCUUUUGGUUAUGAGCUCCCACCUUCAACCUCUCUCCCUAUGAGUUCUAGAAAGUUCACUUGUGGACAAGUAAAGAACAAGUUUGGGGGAGUUGAUAUCUUGCAUAUUUCUAUUGUUUUAUCCAUUCAUCCAUGUGCAUUUUGAUCAUAUAGAUUAGGAUUUAGCCAUGUUUAGGUUGCAUUUUGCAUACAUGAGUCCUUAUCAGGUAUUGGAGUACCACAUGGAGUUCUUGGAGACACUUGGAGGCAUUUGGAGCUCAAAAAGGAGUGUUUAGAGUGGUCAUUGGGCGAGCAAGGCAUGGGAGCGACCAGUCCGGAGCGACACCACCAAGUCGCUCUGAUCACCAGUCUGGAGCGACCUCACUAGAGCGACAGGAAAGAGUCGCUCGCGUAUUGAUCACCCGGAGACAACGGAUCCGGAGCGACCUCUCGCAGCGACACAGCGAGGUCGCUCCCGAAUCAUGGAAUUUCAGAGAGUGAAAGAUGAACACGGAUGAAAGCCUUAAAGAUCUUUUCUGAAGCUCAAAAUUUGUGGAGACACUGGAAAUUGAGUUAGCUUUCCAAUGGAAGUGGUUUCAAGUCAUUUGGAGAUGUAUUGGAUAAGUUAUAAUCGAUUUACUACAGGUGUAUCAACCCUUACCGGGGACCACUGGAAAGUUGAUGGGAUUAACCAACUUCCCACUUUCUUCCACCCACUUUUCCUUUGCACGAUUUUUCCUACUUUUCUGUAUAAUAUUUGCUUUCUUUUUAUCCAAAGAGUGGGCAAGAAACAUGAGUAUUGUACUGGGUAAUAAAGAAAAACUUGUCAAAAAACUCUCUCUCUUUGAAAUAUCAUUGUUCUUAGUGUUCUUGAGCUGUUCUUCAAUUGUUCAUCAUCUGUUCUUGAGUUCUAAUUUCGUUUUGCUUGUUUAAUCCUUGUUUAUCUUUAUUCUCUAUUGUAUUUACUUGAAUAUGCUUCAAUCUAUUAUGAGAUUAAGUGUUUUCAUGAAGAUUAGUGAGUAGUUUCCUUAAGAAUUCAUGGGUUAGGGAGAUUAGAGUAACUUAGUGAAGAUCUAUGGUGUUAUUGUAUUAGAUCCUUGUAUGAACUUGCUUGUUGAGUAUUUUUAAUGCUUGUUUAGUCUUGAUCACUCUAAACCUGAUUUCUAAACACUUCUCAUCAGACAUGAUUAGAUGAAGUGUUUGAAUCAACUCAACUAAGCUCUAGUGAGAUUAGCCAAGGACACUUGAUGUUAAAAUUGCUAGAUAGUUAUUGAACUUGAACUUAAAGAUUGCUUGAUUGAAUUAAGCCAAAGACAUUUGAUGUUUAAUGAUUUCUAAGCAAAUGGACAUUUACCUAGACAUAGGACUUGUCUAAAAUUGUGUUUAGACUUAAGAGAUUACUUUGAUUAAUGAUUUCUAAGCAAAUGGACAUUUACCUAGACAUAGGACUUGUCUAAAAUUGUGUUUAGACUUAAGAGAUUAUUUUGAUUGAAAGCUUGUCACCUAGAUUGGAUCUUAGUUACUUGAAGUCAUUUCCCAAUACCCAUGGAUUCACUUGUCUAAAUUGAUUAAAACCUUGUUGUAUUGCUCUGUUUGCUAUUGUUACUUGUAGCCCAUGGAUUCACUUGUUUAAAUUGAUUAAAACCUUGUUGUAUUGCUCUGUUUGCUAUUGUUAGUUGUCACACACUCACCACUAUUGAAUCUACUUAGCUUAAGAAAUGACUUGUAUUCUCACUGAUUCACAUCACUAGGACUGGUUCGACAUUCACCCCCCUACACUACAACAUUUGCAAUAGGCAGAAAAACCUAUUAUCAAGUAACUUUCUCCCACAGCCGGAUCCAUCGACUUCUACUUCCGGCACUGCAUCCGGCCAAGAGAAUGUGCCUGAUAGCCAAGUUCCUACUGCCGAUCCGUAUGUGCCUCCACAUGCAUAUGACCCUGAAGCUUACUAUCCGCGGUUCGAUGACCCUGCUCAAUUCUUUCCCCAGUACGAUGAGCCUCCACAGCAGCCUCGUUAUGAGCAGCAUCAUCCUCCACACCAUCCUCAGCAGCAGUCCACCGCUCCCGAAUCUGCUCCGGCUCCUGCAGUUGCUCCGGCUCCUGCAGCUGCUCCGGCUCCUGCAUUUGUUCAUCCAGAUUUGAUGGUGCCACCAAAUGCACCAUAUGCAAGAUAUACAGUGGAAGAUCUUCUCCAGAUGCCGGGACGAGAAGGUUUACCAAUCAUCAACCCAGAUCGACCACCCCCCACACUUACCGGUAAUUUUUUAAUUUAUUAAAGUUUUUAUUGCAUUUAAAUAUACUAAUUAUACAUAUUGCUCUAAAUAUAUGUAUUCUUUCAAGUUUUGUAGGUUUUCGACGGACAAUUGUGUGGGACAGAGCGUUGGAGAUAUCAUCAGGGCAAACUUCCGGGAAGCGCAUCCGAACUGGUCUCUCACACCUGACCACGUUCGGAGGACUUGGUUCAAGUGCUUCGUGGUUAGUUUUAAAUAUAAUUUUUAAUUGUUUAUUUACUUAAUUUAAUUUUUUUAUUGUAGCAAAAAUGGAAUUGGUCCAUUGCUGUCAACGAAAAAGUGAAGGAAAAGUUCUACAAAAAGGCGAUGGAUCGCCUAAAGAACAUUGUUGGUGAUUGGAAGGAGAAGUGGAGGGUUUUGGGGGACGACGAAAAAGAAGCCUACUUCAGCAAUGACGUUUGGAAGAGUUUGAAGGCUUAUUGGAAUUUGCCUAAGUCAGUUCAGAGGUCUCUCCCUUGCUCUAUGACUCGGUUGACCCGCGAUGAUGAUGGUAACCUGCCAGUACCUCAUACUUCCGGACAGAUUCCACACGCUGGGAGGGCACUACAAAUUGUAAGUCUUCGAUCUUUCUUAAUUUUUAUUAAAUAUAUAUUAAUUGAAUAUUUUUUUAAUGCGUGAGUUUAAUUUAAAUUUUUUUUUAAUACAGGCUGCCCAAGAAGGAGCACCACCAUCUCUAGCCCGACUUUACAAGACGACACACCAGCAUUCUGAUGGCACCUUCUCGCAUCCUCGAGCAGAGAGGAUCGACAACACUGUUGAGGCCCGGAUCCAGGAGGUCGAGACUCAGUUGUCGCAACAAAAUCCGGAAGGUGCACCGGUCCAGCUGUCCACCGUCGAACAAGACAAAAAUUUUUGAGCAGGUUAGAAAGUUGAUCUCUUAAAUAUAUAUGUUUAUUUACAUUUUUUAUUCUUUAAGUUAGUUUUACAUAUGUACUAAUUAAAUAUCUAUUUAUUAAUUGAAGGUUGCCCCGAAAAAAAGGGGACGUAUUGUCAGGAUCGGGUCUGUCAACGAUGUCCUGAGGGCGAGAGCUGAACACGCUGCAAGAAUGGAAGAAGAAUCUUCUCUCCGUAGGGAUUUGACUGCGGCCAAAGAAGUCAUAGCUGACCAGAGGGACAAAUUUGCAUAUAUGGCAAAUAUGUUCGAUAUGAUGAUAGAGACAACCCCAAACAUCAACCCGGCUCUUGCCUCUAGGUGGCAGUCUCUACAUCUGAGCUUUAUCCCCGAGCCCACUCCGGAAGAGCAGGCAUAUUUAGAGCGACGUGCGGAUGAGCAUAGUUCCGACCUCUUCGACGAAAUAAACCUUAACACUUAGUUUUUUUGGUUUUAGUUAAUUAGUAUUAUGAAUGUUUUAUAUUACGGAUAUUAUUAUGUUUCUGAAUGUUAGAUAUUUUCUUUUAAUUUUAUCGAAUUUUAAAAAUUAAAAUCAAAAUAAAUUUAAAUAUUUGAUUUUAAUUAAUAUAUUAAAUUCGUAAUUAAAUACAAAAUUCGAAAAUAAAUAAAUAAAGUGGGUUAAUUUACGACUAAUGAACAUCUAACGUCGAUGUAAAGUGGUCGUUACAUUACGACAAACAAACAUCGACAUAGAAGCAAAUUGGUCGUAAGUUUACGACCAAUGUACAUCUAAUUUAUGAGACGUAAAUGUGCGUCACAUGUACGACUAAUGAUUUUACGUUUAACUUACGACCAAGUGUCUGAGUCGUACAUUUACGUUUGCUUUACGACUAAUGCAUUUACGUUUAACUUACGACCAAUUUAUUGAGUCAUACGUUUACGUCUGCUUUACGUGUAACACCAUUAGUCGUAACUUUACGAUCAAUGUGCCUCGAAUAAUUAUUUACGACCAGCUUCUAACGACCAAUCGUUUUUCGAAGCUAAUUGGCCGUAAAGCCUAUAUUACAACCAAAUAGCUACUAAUAUUGUAGUCGUUAAUGUCCCGUUUGCUUGUAGUGUAAAUACUUUCUGAAUAAUAUAUUAGGGUUAGAGCUCUUAAAUUAUAUGAAUAAGCUUGGGUCAAUCUUAAAUCUCUGAACCCUAUACAACAUCCCUAGUGAUAAUCCGUAUAUCAUAUAAUAUAAAUUUUAGUUUUAAAAAUUAUUAAUUAACACGAUUGUCACAUAAUAAUUAUAUAUUUAAGAUUUUGACUUGUAUUCAUAAUCAAAAAAAUACAUUUAAGAGCAUUUCCGGCCGUAUACAUACACCACAUCCAUGGAUGCUCUUCCCCUCCAUGGUGUCCACAAGCCAUAAGGCCACACACGAUAGACGUAAGACCACUUUUAAACUUGUUCGUGGAUACCUCAUCGCUCAAACCAUCAACGAAUACCUAGUUCCGAUUUCAAUUAAUCUACUACGAACUGUUGCCUGUUGGUAUAUGAAUCUGGUCUCCUCCGUCGUAAAGAGCAAACUACCCAUUUGGUUUAAAGGCCUACGUGUCUUGACUUUGCCGAGAUCGUGUCCUUGUUACACAUAGGCGAGUUUAAUGGAAGGGAAUACAACAUGAACUUCAAGGACAUUGGGAGGGUCAUGGGGUUCCAAGACCUAGAAGACCACUCACUUCCCAAGUGUGAGAACCUCCCCACAGAGCUCUGGAAGUUGAUUACUGGAAACAAACACUCUACCGGGGCAGACAAGAACUCACACAUCCGACACCCGUCUGUACGCUACCUCCACAGAUUGCUAGUCCAUGCUUUUUACCCACGGAAGCAAGCGGGUACGGUUACUGAGGAAGACAUGCGACUGCUCUGUCCGGCUAUCCGUCCCUACGCUCAACCUGGAGUGUUACCCCUUCCCAGCACUGAUAUCUAUGCUACCUUUGGGAUUGUCAGUUUCUUUGUGGGCCGUCUCGAGCACUACAGAGACUGGGCGUGGUACACCACUGAUUCGCGCCCAAAGAUGGGGAUAGGCGGAAUGAUCACACCACUGCUCCAAUUUCUGAAUGUUCCCUUGGGAAAGGACGCAGCGGGGCCUAGGUUCAUUGAUGGCACCUACUUGAGGAUUUCCACCUAUUUCAGUGGGAUGUAUGGGAAGGACUACGUCUACCACUACUACUUGCAGGGCAAGCCAGUCGAGGUGGUUCUUCCAAACCGGAACCUGACGAGUUUAGAGAUACCUGGAGCUGUCAGCUUCAACAUUCCCCAGGAGUACUUUCUCGGAGAACACGGGCCUCUCGAUCCAAUUCAACCAGAUCCAUCAAGGAAAAGGAGUGUCCCUACGCAACCUGACUCGCCUGUUGCAGACACAUCUGAGCAUAUCUAUGGACCUCCGCGCUACUACUUCAAGCCCCAUCACGGAGUCCUUCCACCUGGAGCUCUCCGUGAUGCUCAUGACCACAUUGGUCGUCUCCAGAGGUGGAACAAAGCUCAGGACAGAACGAUAGAAAAGCUGAAGGAUAAGUGCAAGGCGCUCAGCAAGACUGUGAAGAAGCAGGCAAAGACUUCAGCAAAGUUCAUGAAGAAAGUAGCUGAUGUCUUAACUAGGGGAGGAAUAGCUGGAUGUAGCUCAGCCGAUUUCGCUUUCGCGAACACCUCAAACCCCCAGCCUCCACCCCCGCCUGAUGCUCUUGGCUUCCCCCUCACUGCUGCGCAGCUUCAGCGUAAGUGGAGGAACCCACCCACUCAACCUUCCACUUCCGGCAACAAAUCCCCAUCCCUCGCUUCUUCAGACAGUGAGGACGAGAUUGACGAGGUUGAGAGCCAGCCAUGGUAUGGAGGCUCCGGUUCAGCAUCUGGUGGUUACUACACCACCUUCCCUCCUGACGACGACGAUGCUGGGGCAUCUGCCCCCACCUACUAUCCAUAGGAGGUACUUCUUUCUCUCCCUUGUAUAUACCAUUUCAUUUUUGCAUAUUAUUUUUCUUCUCGGUAUCUCUCUCUUUCCUUGACAACACAGAGACUGUGUAUCUCAAGUUUGGGGGAGGUACCAAGCAUUUGAUCAUGUUUGCUUUGAUUGUGUUUCAUUUGAGUCAUGCAUUGCACACCUAUUUACAUAAAAAAAAAAGAUUUUUCAUUUAGUUUGCAUCAUUUGCACCAUUAGGAGAGUCUAGAGCAUAUAGGUUGCAUUCACUUGCAUUGGGAGCAAUGAUUUUAAAUGCCUUGUAAAGAACACUACGUUGCACCUGAGUAGCCAUGCACCUCUCGAAAAGACUUGUAUGUUUCGAGCCUUGAAAACUCUUCUUGAAACUUGUUGAUUGUAGAAACUCAGUCUUUGAAGCCAGCUACAACCUUAUUUGAACUGAAUGAACUUAAUGCUUCUUGCUUAGGGUCUCUUGUGUACUGAGUCAUGGCUAUACACACUUGAGUUGUCACAUCUUUUAUGCCAUUCUUUUUGACAAACUCUAGUGGUAGACCACUCCCAAAACCUUUCCUUCCUUUUAAGCUUUCAUUGUUUGAUGAGUGAGGCCUUCUUCGGAAAGUUUUACAUGUGCAUAAUGUUGAGAGUAUCGGGAACGACAAUGCUUGAUCUUCAUUUUUGCUGGAUUGGACACUCUAUUGUCUAGCUAUAGGUGGGAGGGUGAGCGUUGUAAUCAUGAUUUGGGAGAAAUAAAAAGGAUAGAUUCUUGUGCUCAAGUGAAUUGAUUUAUUGGGAUAAGUAGAGAACCUCCAGCUCUAGUUUUGAAAAGUCUUGGCCCCCAACCUUAAAAAAAAAAAAAAUAAAAAAAAUAAAAAAAAAUAAAAAAAAAAAAGAGAGAAAAAGGGGGCUAGCAAAGUUGUUAGGAGCUGAGAGACAUUUUGAGAUUGUGAAAAAUCCCUUAUAGAUUUCAAGGAAAAAGAGCUGAUGUUUUUAGAAUCUUUUGGUGAGAGGUGUGAGUUGGGUUUGACAUUUGAGAGUGAAUGUGUAACUUAUAUGUUUGGGAAAAGGGUAGAACAAUGGAGAUUGAGCAUUGUAUGCAUGAGUUGGUCCCUUUCUUAGAUAUAUUAUGUGCAAUGUCAAGGCUACUUGUUUUGAGAGUAAACCACCUUAAAGAUCAUAUGUUUUGAACCUCUUGAAUCACUUGAAUAAAAGCCUUCCCUUACCCAACCAAAUGACUUGGACCAACUGACCAUUUGCAAGAAUUCACUUGAUAUCUUAUGCUUAAUGAAUGUGAGAGUUGGCAGAUCUGAAUGUGUGGAUGCUUGAUGAUGAGUGUAGGGACAAAAGGAGUUGAGAUAGGCCUAGAGAAGCUAGAGUGUAAUAAGAGAGUGUGCUAAUUGUGUUUGCUAGUGGUGUUUCUUUUGGUUAUGAGCUCCCACCUUCAACCUCUCUCCCUAUGAGUUCUAGAAAGUUCACUUGUGGACAAGUAAAGAACAAGUUUGGGGGAGUUGAUAUCUUGCAUAUUUCUAUUGUUUUAUCCAUUCAUCCAUGUGCAUUUUGAUCAUAUAGAUUAGGAUUUAGCCAUGUUUAGGUUGCAUUUUGCAUACAUGAGUCCUUAUCAGGUAUUGGAGUACCACAUGGAGUACUUGGAGGCAUUUGGAGCUCAAAAAGGAGUGUUUAGAGUGGUCAUUGGGCGAGCAAGGGAUGGGAGCGACCAGUCCGGAGCGACACCACCAAGUCGCUCUGAUCACCAGUCUGGAGCGACCUCACUAGAGCGACAGGGAAGAGUCGCUCGCGUAUUGAUCACCCGGAGACAACGAAUCCGGAGCGACCUCUCGCAGCGACACAGCGAGGUCGCUCCCGAAUCCGGAGAGUGAAAGAUGAACACGGAUGAAAGCCUUAAAGAUCUUUUCUGAAGCUCAAAAUUUGUGGAGACACUGGAAAUUGAGUUAGCUUUCCAAUGGAAGUGGUUUCAAGUCAUUUGGAGCUGUAUUGGAUAAGUUAUAAUCGAUUUACUACAGGUGUAUCAACCCUUGCCGGGGACCACUGGAAAGUUGAUGGGAUUAACCAACUUCCCACUUUCUUCCACCCACCUUUCCUUUGCACGAUUUUUCUUACUUUUAUGUAUAAUAUCUGCUUUCUUUUUAUCAUAAGAGUGGGCAAGAAACAUCAUUAUCCAACUUUGUAAUAAUUUAACUUGUCAAAACUCUCUCUCUUUGAAAUAUCAUUGUUCUUAGUGUUCUUGAGCUGUUCUUCAAUUGUUCAUCAUCUGUUCUUGAGUUUUAAUUUCGUUUUGCUUGUUUAAUCCUUGUUUAUCUUUAUUCUCUGUUGUAUCUACUUGAAUAUGCUUCAAUCUAUUAUGAGAUUAAGUGUUUUCAUGGAGAUUAGUGAGUAGUUUCCUUAAGAAUUCAUGGGUUAGGGAGAUUAGAGUAACUUAGUGAAGAUCUAUGGUGUUAUUGUAUUAGAUCCUUGUAUGAACUUGCUUGUUGAGUAUUUUUAAUGCUUGUUUAGUCUUGAUCACUCUAAACCUGAUUUCUAAACACUUCUCAUCAGACAUGAUUAGAUGAAGUGUUUGAAUCAACUCAACUAAGCUCUAGUGAGAUUAGCCAAGGACACUUGAUGUUAAAAUUGCUAGAUAGUUAUUGAACUUGAACUUAAAGAUUGCUUGAUUGAAUUAAGCCAAAGACAUUUGAUGUUUAAUGAUUUCUAAGCAAAUGGGCAUUUACCUAGACAUAGGACUUGUCUAAGAUUGUGUUUAGACUUAAGAGAUUAUUUUGAUUGAAAGCUUGUCACCUAGAUUGGAUCUUAGUUACUUGAAGUCAAUUCCCAAUACCCAUGGAUUCACUUGUCUAAAUUGAUUAAAACCUUGUUGUAUUGCUCUGUUUGCUAUUGUUACUUGUCACACACUCACAACUAUUGAAUCUGCUUAGCUUAAGAAAUGACUUGUAUUCUCACUGAUUCACAUCACUAGGACUGGUUCGACAUUCACCCCCCUACACUACAACAUUUGCAAUAGGCAGAAAAACCUAUUAUCAAGUAACUUUCUCCCACAGCCGGAUCCAUCGACUUCUACUUCCGGCACUGCAUCCGGCCAAGAGAAUGUGCCUGAUAGCCAAGUUCCUACUGCCGAUCCGUAUGUGCCUCCACAUGCAUAUGACCCUGAAGCUUACUAUCCGCGGUUCGAUGACCCUGCUCAAUUCUUUCCCCAGUACGAUGAGCCUCCACAGCAGCCUCGUUAUGAGCAGCAUCAUCCUCCACACCAUCCUCAGCAGCAGUCCACCGCUCCCGAAUCUGCUCCGGCUCCUGCAGUUGCUCCGGCUCCUGCAGCUGCUCCGGCUCCUGCAUUUGUUCAUCCAGAUUUGAUGGUGCCACCAAAUGCACCAUAUGCAAGAUAUACAGUGGAAGAUCUUCUCCAGAUGCCGGGACGAGAAGGUUUACCAAUCAUCAACCCAGAUCGACCACCCCCCACACUUACCGGUAAUUUUUUAAUUUAUUAAAGUUUUUAUUGCAUUUAAAUAUACUAAUUAUACAUAUUGCUCUAAAUAUAUGUAUUCUUUCAAGUUUUGUAGGUUUUCGACGGACAAUUGUGUGGGACAGAGCGUUGGAGAUAUCAUCAGGGCAAACUUCCGGGAAGCGCAUCCGAACUGGUCUCUCACACCUGACCACGUUCGGAGGACUUGGUUCAAGUGCUUCGUGGUUAGUUUUAAAUAUAAUUUUUAAUUGUUUAUUUACUUAAUUUAAUUUUUUUAUUGUAGCAAAAAUGGAAUUGGUCCAUUGCUGUCAACGAAAAAGUGAAGGAAAAGUUCUACAAAAAGGCGAUGGAUCGCCUAAAGAACAUUGUUGGUGAUUGGAAGGAGAAGUGGAGGGUUUUGGGGGACGACGAAAAAGAAGCCUACUUCAGCAAUGACGUUUGGAAGAGUUUGAAGGCUUAUUGGAAUUUGCCUAAGUCAGUUCAGAGGUCUCUCCCUUGCUCUAUGACUCGGUUGACCCGCGAUGAUGAUGGUAACCUGCCAGUACCUCAUACUUCCGGACAGAUUCCACACGCUGGGAGGGCACUACAAAUUGUAAGUCUUCGAUCUUUCUUAAUUUUUAUUAAAUAUAUAUUAAUUGAAUAUUUUUUUAAUGCGUGAGUUUAAUUUAAAUUUUUUUUUAAUACAGGCUGCCCAAGAAGGAGCACCACCAUCUCUAGCCCGACUUUACAAGACGACACACCAGCAUUCUGAUGGCACCUUCUCGCAUCCUCGAGCAGAGAGGAUCGACAACACUGUUGAGGCCCGGAUCCAGGAGGUCGAGACUCAGUUGUCGCAACAAAAUCCGGAAGGUGCACCGGUCCAGCUGUCCACCGUCGAACAAGACAAAAAUUUUUGAGCAGGUUAGAAAGUUGAUCUCUUAAAUAUAUAUGUUUAUUUACAUUUUUUAUUCUUUAAGUUAGUUUUACAUAUGUACUAAUUAAAUAUCUAUUUAUUAAUUGAAGGUUGCCCCGAAAAAAAGGGGACGUAUUGUCAGGAUCGGGUCUGUCAACGAUGUCCUGAGGGCGAGAGCUGAACACGCUGCAAGAAUGGAAGAAGAAUCUUCUCUCCGUAGGGAUUUGACUGCGGCCAAAGAAGUCAUAGCUGACCAGAGGGACAAAUUUGCAUAUAUGGCAAAUAUGUUCGAUAUGAUGAUAGAGACAACCCCAAACAUCAACCCGGCUCUUGCCUCUAGGUGGCAGUCUCUACAUCUGAGCUUUAUCCCCGAGCCCACUCCGGAAGAGCAGGCAUAUUUAGAGCGACGUGCGGAUGAGCAUAGUUCCGACCUCUUCGACGAAAUAAACCUUAACACUUAGUUUUUUUGGUUUUAGUUAAUUAGUAUUAUGAAUGUUUUAUAUUACGGAUAUUAUUAUGUUUCUGAAUGUUAGAUAUUUUCUUUUAAUUUUAUCGAAUUUUAAAAAUUAAAAUCAAAAUAAAUUUAAAUAUUUGAUUUUAAUUAAUAUAUUAAAUUCGUAAUUAAAUACAAAAUUCGAAAAUAAAUAAAUAAAGUGGGUUAAUUUACGACUAAUGAACAUCUAACGUCGAUGUAAAGUGGUCGUUACAUUACGACAAACAAACAUCGACAUAGAAGCAAAUUGGUCGUAAGUUUACGACCAAUGUACAUCUAAUUUAUGAGACGUAAAUGUGCGUCACAUGUACGACUAAUGAUUUUACGUUUAACUUACGACCAAGUGUCUGAGUCGUACAUUUACGUUUGCUUUACGACUAAUGCAUUUACGUUUAACUUACGACCAAUUUAUUGAGUCAUACGUUUACGUCUGCUUUACGUGUAACACCAUUAGUCGUAACUUUACGAUCAAUGUGCCUCGAAUAAUUAUUUACGACCAGCUUCUAACGACCAAUCGUUUUUCGAAGCUAAUUGGCCGUAAAGCCUAUAUUACAACCAAAUAGCUACUAAUAUUGUAGUCGUUAAUGUCCCGUUUGCUUGUAGUGUAAAUACUUUCUGAAUAAUAUAUUAGGGUUAGAGCUCUUAAAUUAUAUGAAUAAGCUUGGGUCAAUCUUAAAUCUCUGAACCCUAUACAACAUCCCUAGUGAUAAUCCGUAUAUCAUAUAAUAUAAAUUUUAGUUUUAAAAAUUAUUAAUUAACACGAUUGUCACAUAAUAAUUAUAUAUUUAAGAUUUUGACUUGUAUUCAUAAUCAAAAAAAUACAUUUAAGAGCAUUUCCGGCCGUAUACAUACACCACAUCCAUGGAUGCUCUUCCCCUCCAUGGUGUCCACAAGCCAUAAGGCCACACACGAUAGACGUAAGACCACUUUUAAACUUGUUCGUGGAUACCUCAUCGCUCAAACCAUCAACGAAUACCUAGUUCCGAUUUCAAUUAAUCUACUACGAACUGUUGCCUGUUGGUAUAUGAAUCUGGUCUCCUCCGUCGUAAAGAGCAAACUACCCAUUUGGUUUAAAGGCCUACGUGUCUUGACUUUGCCGAGAUCGUGUCCUUGUUACACAUAGGCGAGUUUUGAGCAUCUUACAAACACAUCGUUUAUGAUAAUGCUAAAGUUUAAGCCAAAGCAAAAGCUUAUUAUUACCAAAGAAAGAGUGGUAAUCUAUAACGUGUUACAAACUCAGUAGUAUUAUAUAGUCAAGCAAAUUAAUUUGGGUUAUUUAUUAGUCAAUUAAAAAUCUUUUUUUUUGAACGAUAAUUUCAUUACUUAACAAAGCGGUCACAAAGGAUAGGUGGAGUAGUUGAGAAGCGCGCUCUUGGCGAGUUCAUCAGCUGCCCUAUUGUCUGAACGAGGAACAUAAUGAAAGGAGAUUACAUCAAGGUCACAAGCUAACUUAAGAAUAUCAUGAAGAAUUCCAAAGAGAUCCUUGAUUGAUUCUCGAUUGUUGAUGGCUCGGACUAAAGUCUGAGCGUCUGACUUGAGGAUGACGUUGUUGAAACCUUGUGCUUUGGCUUGGCGUAGAGCUUCCCUUAUCGCUAAGGCCUCCGCCAUCUGAGCUGAGUUUACACAAUCUUCGAAUAGGCCCUGUUGGUGUAACACAUGUCCUGAUGGUGUUGAGAAAACCCAAGCCAAUCCUGCAGAAAAGAGUUCUUUUUUCCAUGAUGCAUCAGUGUUGAUAAUCAAGGCGUCCGUUCGAGGCAAUGGUAGCGUCGAAGCCUGUAGAUGUGGUUUUGGCCCAGUUUGUCGCCCAGGUUGUGCUUCUUGCCAUUCACGCGCGUCUGCUAUUGCUUUCGAGAGUGUCUCCGCUGGUUUGAAAACCCUGUUUUCGAAGAUCUUCAAAUUUCGUGUAAUCCAGAUGUUCCAAACAAUCCAAGGGAACAGAGGUCCCAUGUGAAGUCCUGUAGGGGGUAGGUUAGUCAGCUUUGUUCCAAGUUUGAGUGCUUCUUCGAAGUCCAAUGCUGUGGUGAUGACCGCUAAGUUGCUUAUUGGAGCUGCAGACCAGAUGUCAACUGCGAAUUGGCAGUGAAGAAAGAGAUGUGAGGCUGUUUCCUUCAUACCACAAUGAGUACAUGUGAGGUUCUCCGUCAAUCCUCGAGUUUCCAGAUUUUCCCCUAGUGGCAAUGCUCCUUUGGUGAUUUUCCACAGAAACACACGAAGCUUUGGAGGUAGAGGCACUGUCCAAAUAUCUUUCCUCCAGUCCACGUUGGUUUGAGUUGUAUGAGGCAGGUUGCUUGUGAUCUUCAUCUCCAGUGCAGUGAAAUAGCCCGUUCGGGUGGAGUAUUCUCCAUCUUUUGUUGGUAACCAGCAGUGCUUGUCAAGGGCACCCGAGGUACUAGGCCUAAGGCAAAGUAUUGAUGGUGCUUCAAUUGGGAAGAUAUGAGAAACUAGCUCUCUGUUCCAAGUUCCCGAAGGUUGAUCAAUUAAAUCCGCCACUGUGAGGUCCUUUGUUGCCAGUUCCGGAGGUCCCAUUGGUUGGGCUAGCUCAGAAGUAGAUAUCCAUGGUUCAUCCCAAAUACGAGUAUCAGCUCCAUUCCCAAUCACCUUCCCCGUUUUUUUCCAGCAGUAGGUCUCUUCCACACAAAACACUUCGCCAACCAUGUGAGCAAGAGCUUGAAGCUUGAACCGCCAUGAAGUUCGUUGCUUUGCAAUAUUUGCCAAGCAAAACCUUAGCGAGGAGACAAUCCGGUUUCAUUUGUAUCCUCCAGCUUUGCUUUGCCAAGAGGGCGUCGUUGAAAGCUUCAACUUCCCGGAAGCCCAGUCCGCCAUCUUUCAUAGAUUUUGUUACUUCCGACCAGGCGACCCAGCACAUUUUCCUCUCUUCUGGGCUUGCAUCCCACCAGUAUCUUGUCAGUGCGGCUUGGAUCCUUUUGGUGAGACUUUUGGGUAGCUUGAAGCACAUCAUUGAGUGAGAGGGAACCGCCGAUAAUACUGACUUGAUCAUUACAAGUUUACCAGUGGCCGAGAGCUGUCUUGUACUCCAGCUUGCCGCCUUUUGUCUGAUCUUAUCCACAAUAGAGGUGAACAUGUCUUUUUUUUUCUUGCAAAAAUGUUCUGGAAGUCCUAGGUAUUUGCCCACUCCUCCUUUUUUGGAUAUUCCCAAGGUAGCUUUGACUCUUUCCCGGACCUCAGCUGGAGUUUUCCUAGAGAAAGUGAUCGAUGAUUUUGUUGCAUUAAUCACUUGUCUCGACACAGAUUCAUACUUCCUUAGCACGUCUCGAAGGGCAGUGACACUCGUUGGGUUGGUCUUGACGACGAACAUGGUGUCGUCGGCGAAAAGUAAAUGGUUUAUCUUCGGACUUCCCCUGGCUACUUGGAUUCCAGCGAGAGAGCCACGGCGUUGUGCAGCUGAGCAGAGUCCAGAAAGAACCUCACUGCAUAGUAUGAAGAUAUACGGGGAAAGGGGGUCACCCUGUCUGAUUCCGCGGGUUGGUGUGAUCAUUCCCUGCGCCUCUCCAUUCAGAAGGAUAGAGUAUGUGACGGAUGUAAUGCAUCGCAUGAUCCAGCGUUUGCAAUCGUCGUGUAACCCCAGUCGUUUCAAAACAGCAUCCACGAAGUUCCACUCAAGCCGGUCAUACGCCUUGCUCAUGUCCGUUUUUACGGCCAUGGCACAGUGCUUUGUAGCUCCCGAUCGCUUCAAGUAGUGUAGCGUUUCGUGUGUGAUCAUGAUGUUGUCCGCUAUUGCUCUCCCCGGAAUGAAAGCUGAUUGGUUCUCGGAGAUAAUAGUGUCAAGAACAGGUUGCAGCCGCCUUGUUAGUAUCUUCGACACUAUUUUGUAGUAGACAUUGCAUAAUGCAAUGGGUCUGUAGUCAGCCGCCGAUUCGGGUCCCGAUAUCUUCGGGAAGAGCCGCAUGUGCGUGUGGUUAAAGUUGAGAGGCAGGGUAUCGUGUGGGAAGAACGCAAUUAUUUCCUCAGAGAUUGCUGGUCCGACUAUAUCCCAGUUAGUACGGAAGAAACUCGAAGAGAAUCCAUCCGGCCCCGGAGCUUUGUCCGGAUGGAUUGAAAAGACAGCUUCCUUUAUUUCUUUUGGUGUGGGGAUGGCAGCUAGGGAACAUUUAUAGUUGCCUUCGACUGUAUGGGAGAGUGCUUCGUCAACUACAUUUGAUGGUGGCGGGUUGGUUGUAGUGAAGAGUUUCGAGAAGUAAUCAGUGAUGACCUCAAGGAUUUCAUGUUCGUCAAUUAAAAAUCUAAGAUAUUGAAAUUCUAAUUUAAUAAUUUAUCUAUAAUAUAUAUGAGUGAAAUGAAAUAUGAUAAAAUCCUGGAAUAAUAUCUAUAAUUUAUCUAUAGUAUCUGCUCCACUAAAAUAAAAUGAUAAUAUCCUGCCAUCCUGGAAAUUGAGUGAUGCUAAUAUAAUAGAAUAAACUUUGCCUAAAACUACCAAAACUUCAAGACCCAUAAGUGAAAUCUAAGUCUUCGAUGGCUUCUACUCUAACACAAACCACACAAACCAUAAAUAGUUUCCACCUCUUCAUUCUAUAUAAGCAUACGAAUGAGUCAUACUGAUCAUCAUUCAUUAGUAAAUUAAGAUACAAUACUAAGAUGGCAUCUUCUAAAGUAUCUUCCAUGCUUCUCUUUCUCCUCCUUCUCGUUCUUGUGUUUCCCCAUAUGGAUAAAGCCCUUGGUGAAAAAAGACAGCUCCACGAACUUAGUUAGUCUUUUUGUCUUUAAAUAUAUAAAGUCAUAGCUAUUUACUCUAUUAUUUUGAUCUAUUUAGAAAUGUUUUGAACUUUUUUUUUCUUUAAUUUAGCUUGGUUUUAGUUCACAACUAACUAUAUCACAUUAAUUUUUAUAAACAGAAGAUAAACCAUUGUAGUUUUGUUUCCUGUCUUGUUUCGUUCAGACCGAAGUUUAUUGUGAUAGAUGACAAAAUAAAACAAUAUAUAUNNNNNNNNNNNNNNNNNNNNNNNNNNNNNNNNNNNNNNNNNNNNNNNNNNNNNNNNNNNNNNNNNNNNNNNNNNNNNNNNNNNNNNNNNNNNNNNNNNNNNNNNNNNNNNNNNNNNNNNNNNNNNNNNNNNNNNNNNNNNNNNNNNNNNNNNNNNNNNNNNNNNNNNNNNNNNNNNNNNNNNNNNNNNNNNNNNNNNNNNNNNNNNNNNNNNNNNNNNNNNNNNNNNNNNNNNNNNNNNNNNNNNNNNNNNNNNNNNNNNNNNNNNNNNNNNNNNNNNNNNNNNNNNNNNNNNNNNNNNNNNNNNNNNNNNNNNNNNNNNNNNNNNNNNNNNNNNNNNNNNNNNNNNNNNNNNNNNNNNNNNNNNNNNNNNNNNNNNNNNNNNNNNNNNNNNNNNNNNNNNNNNNNNNNNNNNNNNNNNNNNNNNNNNNNNNNNNNNNNNNNNNNNNNNNNNNNNNNNNNNNNNNNNNNNNNNNNNNNNNNNNNNNNNNNNNNNNNNNNNNNNNNNNNNNNNNNNNNNNNNNNNNNNNNNNNNNNNNNNNNNNNNNNNNNNNNNNNNNNNNNNNNNNNNNNNNNNNNNNNNNNNNNNNNNNNNNNNNNNNNNNNNNNNNNNNNNNNNNNNNNNNNNNNNNNNNNNNNNNNNNNNNNNNNNNNNNNNNNNNNNNNNNNNNNNNNNNNNNNNNNNNNNNNNNNNNNNNNNNNNNNNNNNNNNNNNNNNNNNNNNNNNNNNNNNNNNNNNNNNNNNNNNNNNNNNNNNNNNNNNNNNNNNNNNNNNNNNNNNNNNNNNNNNNNNNNNNNNNNNNNNNNNNNNNNNNNNNNNNNNNNNNNNNNNNNNNNNNNNNNNNNNNNNNNNNNNNNNNNNNNNNNNNNNNNNNNNNNNNNNNNNNNNNNNNNNNNNNNNNNNNNNNNNNNNNNNNNNNNNNNNNNNNNNNNNNNNNNNNNNNNNNNNNNNNNNNNNNNNNNNNNNNNNNNNNNNNNNNNNNNNNNNNNNNNNNNNNNNNNNNNNNNNNNNNNNNNNNNNNNNNNNNNNNNNNNNNNNNNNNNNNNNNNNNNNNNNNNNNNNNNNNNNNNNNNNNNNNNNNNNNNNNNNNNNNNNNNNNNNNNNNNNNNNNNNNNNNNNNNNNNNNNNNNNNNNNNNNNNNNNNNNNNNNNNNNNNNNNNNNNNNNNNNNNNNNNNNNNNNNNNNNNNNNNNNNNNNNNNNNNNNNNNNNNNNNNNNNNNNNNNNNNNNNNNNNNNNNNNNNNNNNNNNNNNNNNNNNNNAAGAGUGUUAAUCUUUAACAUCUAAGUUUACAAAUUCAGUAGUAUUAUAUAGUCAAGCAAAUUAAUUUGGGUUAUUCAUUAGUCAAUUAAAAAUAUAAGAUAUUGAAAUUGGAAUUUAAUAAUUUAUCUAUAAUAUAUAUGAGUGAAAUGAAAUAAGAUAAAUCCUGGAAUAAUAUCUAUAAUUUAUCUAUAAUAUCUGCUCCACUAAAAUGAAAUGAUAAUGGGGUGAUUGGUAGUUGUUGUAGGUGCUGUCCACAGUUCUAUUUAUUUCCAAAGCACCAAAUUCAGAGCAAUCAAGCUUUAAAUUUUUUUUUGAAACCACAGCUCUUGAAAUAACCUACAGCUGUACAAGUGCUCUGCAGAGCCAAAUAUCCAAAGCAAUUUUUUAGUGCUUUCCAUAAAAUUCUACAGCAAUAAAUUCUACAGCCACAUCAAAAAGUCUACAGAUUUUUUUUUACAGCAAAAAUUUUAAAACUACGGCCCUUACCAAUCAGACCCAAUAUCCUGCCGUCCUGGAAAAUGAGUCAUGCUAAUAUAAUAGAAUAAAAUUUGCCUAAAACUACCAAAACUUCUAAGACCCAUAAGUGAAAUCUGAGUCAUCGAUGGCUUCAACUCUAGCACAAACCACACAAACCAUAAAUAGUUUUCACCUCUUCAUUUUAUAUAAAUGCAUACCAAUGGGUCAUAUUGAUCAUCACUCAUCAGUAAAUUAAGAGACAAUACUAAGAUGACAUCUUCUAAAGUGUCUUACAUGCUUCUCUUCCUCCUUCUCGUUCUUGUGUUUCCCCAUAUGGAUAAAGUCCUUGGUGAAAAAGACAGCUUCACAACCUUAGUUAGUCUUUUUGUCUUUAAAUAAAGUCAUAGCUAUUUACUCUAUUAUUUUGAUCUAUUUAGAAAUGUUUUGAACUUUUUUUCUCUUUAAUUUAGCUUGGUUUUAGUUCACAACUAACUAUAUCACAUUAAUUUUUAUAAACAGAAGAUAAACUAUUGUAGUUUUGUUUCCUGUCUUGUUUCGUUCAGACCGAAGUUUAUUGUGAUAGAUGACAGAAUAAAACAAUCUCUUUCUUAUUAUUUGAGGAGCAUUAUAAAAAACUAACCUUGAGUUCAUGUGUUAUUAUCAAAAUUGUCAUUUCCUACGUGACAUAACCACAAGCUCUCUCACACCAUAUAUUCAAAAAACCUUUGUUUAUUAGACUAAUUACAAAAAUUGACAUUAAUCAUUUGAUUGUAACUUGACAUAAUAUAUUAUAAGCUUUUUCAUUAUUGACUAACAAAAGAAAAAAUCAUGUGAAGAUUUAAUGUGUAGUCCUAUGAUUGCACAAAUUAAGCAAAUAAGUUAAUGCGUAAUCAUUAUUAGUUUCCUAUAUUCAUCAAAACUAUUGAUCCGUGAUAUAUUUUCGUAUUUAUUAUCUUUUGUGAGUCUUUUUUUACAGAAUCCAAUUUAUGAAAACUUUGACCAAGUCAUAGUCGAGAUAUUAUUAUAGUUAAAUAGAUGAGACAAAAAUAUUGUAUUGGUUUUUACAAGUAUUCAUCAUAUAGCAUGUUUUAUAAUAUUCAAACGAUAUGCAUAUAUAAAAAAGUAUAGUAAAUGUAAUUAUUUUAAAAACUUUUGUACUACAUAAUUAGGUUUACCAAAAAAGAAAGUUGUGUGCCAUGGAAUUUCCUUUUUAUUAUUUGAGGGCUAAGACAAUAUAUAAGACAAAAAUCCAUAUUUUAUUAAUGUUAUAUGAAAUUAAUUAUCAUGUUAAAUGAUAAUACAUUGCUAAUAAUCAUGUUCUUGAGUGAUUGUAAAAUACAUUCAAAAUGAAUUCCAUAAUAAUUUUUUUCCAAUCCCUUAACUUUUGCAACAAGACUAUUUGAUUACGAAAUUAACAUAAAUGCUGACAGACAUUAAAUUUUGAAAUUUAUAUAAUACUUUCUGGUUAAGUUUAAAGUUAAAUAUCAUGUUCUUUACAAUUCAUAAAUGAUACAUGACACUUUUAGAGUCUGGAAAAUAUAAAUGAUUCAUAAUUAUGUUCUUCUAUAAAACUUUGGUACAUGAUAUUAAUUUUGAUUAAUAUUUUUUUAUAUUUUAUGGGAUAUGUGACAUUUAUGAUUGUGUAUGGACAAUAUAAACUCGACUAUAUUGUAAAAUAAAAAUGCCGUAUAUCAAAAGUAUACAAAAAGUUAAAUGCAAUCUUGAGUGAUUGUUAAAUACAUUCAAAAUGGAAUGACAUAUUAAUUUUUUUUUCAAUUCCUUAUUUUUUGCAACAAGAUUUUUGUAUUAUGAAAUUAACAUAAAUGGUGAUAGACAUUAAAUUUGGAAAUUCAUAUAAUUUUUUCGGGUUAAGUUUGAAGUCAAAUAUCAUUUUUAAUAUGGAAUUCUUUAAAUAUUGAGAUCUGUUGAUAGCUCAUUUGUCUAUUUACAAUUCAUCAGUUGAAUUCCCUCAGACUUGGGUCACUCGAUUCAGCUUCUAACCUUCUUAGAUAUUGGAAUUGAGCUUAGUUAACCAAAUCUAGAUAUCUCAGGUGAUUAGUAGAGAUAUUGAAUCCAACUAACGGACCGUAGCCCUUUAUCUUGUGUCUUCUCGAAACUUUUUAAUAAAAACAAACUUUUUGAAACAAAAGAUAAAUAAAAAGAGACUCAUAUGUAUUUUGACUGAUAAUGGAUAUUAAGGUUCAAUAAUAGACUUCUUUUACAAUUUUGAGUUCUAAUCAAUCCACUGGAUAGAAAAUUCUUAUUAUUUACUUCUUUUGUUCUUUUUUUUCAUUUUCAUAUUAUUUACUUCAGUUUACUUUUAUUAUUCUAUAACUUUUAUGUACUCUAGAACCAGUAUAAUUAUAAUAAAAUAUGAUGAUAUAACUUAUAAAUAAUAAAACAACUAUUGUUUAUCGACCAUAAUAAGCUUAUCGUUAUCCCAAAUUGGAUCAUUUUAUUUCCAUUAAUCUGUACAUCAAACGUUACUUCUUUUAAUCUAUAUAUACAUGUCACUAUUACUUUUACCUUUUCAAUUUAUAUCUUAAAAUUUAUAAUUAUUUUAAUUUAUUCGCCCUGCGCCCAGGUCAUCACCUAGUAUAUAUCUAUUUAAGUUGGGAUUAUGCGAAUUGAUAGACAAAUGUCCACUUUAACAAAACUUGGCGCUGUAGUAAUUAAUUCGUUAAGUGGUUUUGGUGUAGAACGCACAGAGCAUCCCGAUCAACUGAUGACGGUUGGAAGGAGCCUUCUCUUUCGUAUCCCUCCAUGCCCACCGUCCUUAUGUAAGCCUCGUCCGAUAAGAAUUCCUCCCCGACGUCGUACACCUCCACCCCCUCCACGGCAUUGAAGGUUUCCAAAAGGCAAAAACACAUGGAUCCCAAAACAUUUGGAUGAAAAUAUAUUUUCGUAAUUCCUCACUAUAAAUGUAAUUCUGAAAUUUUCUUUCAAAAUAAAGAGAUCAUGCCACUCGGGAUGAUGGUAUGAUGAUAUGUUGUUGUAAGUUUUAAGCUAUUGUAUGAUGAUAUAUUUGUUGAUAUUGUGUCGAUAGAGAAAGUGGCAAAAAAGAAAAAAUUUAAAGAAAGAAAUGAGAAGAUGUUUGAUACGACAUUCUAUAUUAUAUAAAUGAUAUUUUCAAGUCACUUAAAAUAUUUUUUCUCUCCGAGCGACAAUAAAGGCGACUCUUUAUAUUGACGGUUAUCUAAAUUUUUUUCACCGUUCCCUGCGGCGUAGGCCGCCGGAUUUCACUAUUUUCCUGCUUAUUUUACUUUCUACUUUCAAUUUGGCUAGUAUAUGAUGUCUUCUUCAUUACUCCCUCCGUUUCUGAAAAAGUGUCGUUGUAGAGAAUUUUUUUCGCUACAAAAUAAGUGUUGUUUUCGAUUCUCAAUGCAAAAUUUAUUAGUUUUAUUCAGUAAUCUAUUUUUCUAUUGGUUGAAAUAUGGUUAGGGGUAUCGGUAAUUAUGUUUUUUUAUAGGAAAUGUACAAAAUUAAUUGUUUCCUUAGUCCGUGUGCACAGACCCAAAAAGACACUUAAUAUGACACAGAGGAUAUGAGUUUUCAUCAUCUUCAUCUUCCGUUUUCUGAUGAAAAUCGAGGGCUGUCACUAUCUCCAUUAGUGAUAGAUCUUGCUCGAUCCUUUAUUCGGUUAUUGGCGUUAUUCCUCGUCGUAUUUGGCGUGUGUGUUUUCCCUUUAAUAGGGUGGGAUUCCCCGGUCUGUGAUCUUCGAUUCAGUGCCGAAGUUUGUGUAUCAGCUUUUGGGUUUCGUGGUGUAUUCCUGGUGGCAAAUAUUCAAUCAGAUUAUCUUCAACCUCUCAGGCUUCAUUUGUUAAUCGCAUGGCUGAACGAUUUGUUCCGAAUUCAAUCAACGAAGCGAGCCCUUAAAAAUCGCAUGGCUGAACUAUUUGUUCCGAAUUCAAACAACUUCCAUAUAAUGCCUGGAAAAUCUUCAUCAUACAGGCAAUUAAAAAUCAAAUACUGGUUAGAUUUUUUAUUUUCAAAUUUCAAUGCAUGUAAAUUUUUUUAAAAAAUAUUUAAUUCCAUUGGAAACCUCGAACCCAGAAGUCAAUUUGUAACAUUUAAAACGUUUUUCUAUCGAUUAAAAUAAUUGCAAUUAGAAUAUAAAAACUAUAGGGUGCACAAUUAUCACUAGUAGUUUUGUUUUCUUUAAUCUUGAUAAUUUCCCUUAACAUGUAUCUUGUCAGCAAUAUUCGUUUCCCAAUUUAUUAUUAGAUAGUUGACAGAUGCAAUGUCCUUACAAUACACCAUUUGCAUUUCUUUGUAUUUGUCUUCGUCAACCACCAUUUGGGAUUUCUAGAGUUUGAUACCCAGCAAACUUUCUUAUCAGUUGCUUGUAAGAAAAAAUUGGCAUUUGCCACAAUAACAAUUACUAUUUUUGAAAUGUAUUACUGGUGAAUGAUAUACAAUAUUUUGUACUAUUUAAGACAUUCAUAAAGAUCUGGUUGUUAAAUAUUAAUUAUCUAUUAGGAAAGUGAUAAGUUCAGAAAGAGAUAAUGCUUAUCGUAUUAUGUUUUGUCUUCUUGUCUAAGUCGGUCUAAUCACACCGACUUAUAUCUCCUAUAUAAAGAACUUGUACGUGAUGAAUGAAAUGAUGAAAAACAAGUCUUUUGACUCUCUUUUGUAAUACAUAUAUUUCUUAGACAAGUCAAUAUCUCAUAUCCCUCUCUCUCCAUCGAUCAACAUAUAUUUAUAUAUAAAGAAAAUAAACAACAUCUGAUCCUUAUUAUACAACACGUUAUCAGCACGAUGCUCUGACCAAUUGAGUUUAUCAAUCCGAAAAUUCUUAAACCAGUCGAGGUAAUGUUUAAAUUUAUGUGUUUCAAUAUACUUAAUUUUUUUAAAUUUUAUUAUUGUUCCGGAGUGAAAGGCUAGGCCUUCUCCGUUUAUUUUCGGAAUGAUAGGCGACGCCUUCCGCGACUGAUCGUUAUGGUAGGCUAUGCCUUCACGAUCAGAGAAACACGUGAAUAAAAAAAAUGCCUCCAUGAAUAAAAAAAAUAAAAUAAAGGUCAAAAAUGGCAAACUAAGUCUCCUCGGACCACCACCGGGCUUGCUAUUCGUAGGUGAACAAUCAAGAAAAUUAACUUGGGUUAUUCAUUAGUCAAUUAAAAAUCUAAGAUAUUGAAAUUGAAAUUUAAUAAUUUAUCAAUAAUAUAUAUGAGUGAAAUGAAUUCCUCCUCGACGUCGUACACCUCCACCCCCUCCACGUCAUUGAAGAUUUCCAGAAGGAUAAAACACAUGGAUCCAAAAAUAUUUGGAUGAAAAUAUAUUUUCGUGAUUCCUCACUAUAAAUGUGAUUCUCAAAAUUUUCUUUCAAAAUAAAGAGAUCAUGCCACUCGGGAUGAUGGUAUGAUGAUAUGUUGUUGUAAGCUAUUGUGUGAUGAUAUAUUUGUUGAUAUUAUUCAACGUAAAUAAAUAUAGUUUAUGGAUUUGUGUCGAUAGAGAAACUGGAAAGAAAG